GACGAACGCUGGCGGCGUGCCUAAUACAUGCAAGUAGAACGCACAGUUUAUACCGUAGCUUGCUACACCAUAGACUGUGAGUUGCGAACGGGUGAGUAACGCGUAGGUAACUUGCCUGGUAGCGGGGGAUAACUAUUGGAAACGAUAGCUAAUACCGCAUAAUAUUAAUUAUUGCAUGAUAAUUAAUUGAAAGGUGCAAUUGCACCACUACCAGAUGGACCUGCGUUGUAUUAGCUAGUAGGUGAGGUAACGGCUCACCUAGGCGACGAUACAUAGCCGACCUGAGAGGGUGAUCGGCCACACUGGGACUGGGACACGGCCCAGACUCCUACGGGAGGCAGCAGUAGGGAAUCUUCGGCAAUGGACGAAAGUCUGACCGAGCAACGCCGCGUGAGUGAAGAAGGUUUUCGGAUCGUAAAGCUCUGUUGUAAGAGAAGAACGGGUGUGAGAGUGGAAAGUUCACACUGUGACGGUAUCUUACCAGAAAGGGACGGCUAACUACGUG
rnacentral:rRNA from 1 species